GGGAAGGAGCCAAGAGCAAAGAUGACUUUUUGCAUUAGUUUCAUGCUAAUAUGGAGUCCCAUCUCAAGACAAGGACUUAUUGGCUAUUCUGAAAAUUGAGGGACAAACUUAAUCCUCAGUGCAAAGUUCAGGAAUCGAAAUGGCUAUUUUGACAACUUGGAGUGAAAGACGAAGCGCUUCAAUUUCCACGAACAAUAUAUGUUCAUACUGCAUACCAUUUGAUAUGUUCACAGUGCAUACCAUUUGGGAAGACAACGCUUCAACUUCCCCAUCUCGAACACACUUUCAACUUCCCCAUCUCGAACACACCAGAAAACGCUUCCCGCGCACCAAUUCUC
rnacentral:lncRNA from 1 species